CAAGAGGAGCAUUCUGUGACGUUUGACCUACCAGAACAAAUAGAUAAAUUACCAACAAGCCAGCAGCAGCAGAUGGCACACAUCGUAGAGUUCUGAAGGACCAGUAAGCCUUACUUCAGUACCAGAGAAUUCAAGCAUCUGUUUGGAGGGAAAAACUGGGGAAUUACACACAUUGGCUAAUGUAAAUAAGGAAAAGGGGCAUCAGAAGAGCCCUAACCAAGAGUCUUUCAUCUCAUGGAAAUGAAACCAAGCUGAGCUGCCCCUGCACUUCCCACAGACUCUGGAGCACUUCCCCUGCUGCCUGGGAAUCUCUCCACAAGCUGUACACUGGGGAGGAGCUUGACAACAACCAUUGCCAGAGCAGCUUGUUGGAUGUGUGUGACUGAUGGUGAAAAUGGCCUGAGACAGAUGA